rnacentral:rRNA from 1 species
UACGAAGGGGGCUAGCGUUGCUCGGAUUGACUGGGCGUAAAGGGCGCGUAGGCGGAUAGUACAGUCAGGCGUGAAAUUCCUGGGCUUAACCUGGGGGCUGCAUACGAGACGUAUGGGCUUGAGUGCGGAAGAGGGUCGUGGAAUUCCCGGUGUAGCGGUGAAAUGCGCAGAUAUCGGGAGGAACACCAAUGGCGAAGGCAGCUCGCUGGGACGUGACUGACGCUGAGACGCGAAAGCGUGGGGAGCAAACAGG